GAGCUCACUUUGGCAGCACGAACACGAAAGCUGGACCAGUACAGAAAAGACCAGCCUGGCCCCUGAGCAAGGAUGACAGGCAAAUUCCUUAAGUUUCCUUGUCUGUU
ensembl:snRNA U6 U6 spliceosomal RNA